rnacentral:misc_RNA from 1 species
GAUGAAGAACGCAGCGAAAUGCGAUACGUAAUGUGAAUUGCAGAAUUCAGUGAAUCAUCGAAUCUUUGAACGCAUAUUGCGCUCUUUGGUAUUCCGAAGAGCAUGCUUGUUUGAGUAUCAGUAAACACCUCAAAGCUUUUGGAUUUUUUUUUUGAAAGCUUUGGACUUGAGCAAUCCCAACACCAAUCUUUUUCAGAUCGGCGGCGGGUUGCUUGAAAUGCAGGUGCAGCUGGACUUUCUCCUGAGCUAAAAGCAUAUUCAUUUAGUCCCGUCAAACGGAUUAUUACUUUUGCUGCAGCUAACAUAAAGGGAGUUUGACCGCAUUGGCUGACUGAUGCAGGAUUUCACAAGGGUCGGCAACGAUUCUUGUUAAACUCGAUCUCAAAUCAAGUAAGACUACCCGCUGAACUUAAGCAUAUCAAUAAGCGGAGGA